UACGUAGGGAGCAAGCGUUGUCCGGAAUCAUUGGGCGUAAAGCGCGCGUAGGUGGCCCGGUAAGUCCGCUCUGAAAGUCACAGGCUCAACCUGUGAAAGCGGGUGGAUACUGCCGGGCUAGAGUCCGGAAGAGGCGAGUGGAAUUCCCUGGUGUAGCGGUGGAAUGCGCAGAUAUCAGGAGGAACACCAACGGCGAAGGCAGCUCGCUGGGACGGUACUGACACUGAGGCGCGAAAGCGUGGGGAGCGAACAGG
rnacentral:rRNA from 1 species